rnacentral:rRNA from 1 species
AGAGUUUGAUCCUGGCUCAGGACGAACGCUGGCGGCGCGCCUAACACAUGCAAGUCGAACGAGCGAGAGAGAGCUUGCUUUCUCAAGCGAGUGGCGAACGGGUGAGUAACGCGUGAGGAACCUGCCUCAAAGAGGGGGACAACAGUUGGAAACGACUGCUAAUACCGCAUAAGCCCACGGCUCGGCAUCGAGCAGAGGGAAAAGGAGCAAUCCGCUUUGAGAUGGCCUCGCGUCCGAUUAGCUAGUUGGUGAGGUAACGGCCCACCAAGGCGACGAUCGGUAGCCGGACUGAGAGGUUGAACGGCCACAUUGGGACUGAGACACGGCCCAGACUCCUACGGGAGGCAGCAGUGGGGAAUAUUGCACAAUGGGGGAAACCCUGAUGCAGCGACGCCGCGUGGAGGAAGAAGGUCUUCGGAUUGUAAACCCCUGUUGUUGAGGAAGAUAAUGACGGUACUCAACAAGGAAGUGACGGCUAACUACGUGCCAGCAGCCGCGGUAAAACGUAGGUCACAAGCGUUGUCCGGAAUUACUGGGUGUAAAGGGAGUGCAGGCGGGAAGACAAGUUGGAAGUGAAAUCCAUGGGCUCAACCCAUGAACUGCUUUCAAAACUGUUUUUCUUGAGUAGUGCAGAGGUAGGCGGAAUUCCCGGUGUAGCGGUGGAAUGCGUAGAUAUCGGGAGGAACACCAGUGGCGAAGGCGGCCUACUGGGCACCAACUGACGCUGAGGCUCGAAAGUGUGGGUAGCAAACAGGAUUAGAUACCCUGGUAGUCCACACUGUAAACGAUGAUUACUAGGUGUUGGAGGAUUGACCCCUUCAGUGCCGCAGUUAACACAAUAAGUAAUCCACCUGGGGAGUACGACCGCAAGGUUGAAACUCAAAGGAAUUGACGGGGGCCCGCACAAGGAGUGGAGUAUGUGGUUUAAUUCGACGCAACGCGAAGAACCUUACCAAGUCUUGACAUCCUGCGACGCACAUAGAAAUAUGUGUUUCCUUCGGGACGCAGAGACAGGUGGUGCAUGGUUGUCGUCAGCUCGUGUCGUGAGAUGUUGGGUUAAGUCCCGCAACGAGCGCAACCCUUAUGGUCAGUUACUACGCAAGAGGACUCUGGCCAGACUGCCGUUGACAAAACGGAGGAAGGUGGGGAUGACGUCAAAUCAUCAUGCCCUUUAUGACUUGGGCUACACACGUACUACAAUGGCGUUAAACAAAGAGAAGCAAGACCGCGAGGUGGAGCAAAACUCAGAAACAACGUCCCAGUUCGGACUGCAGGCUGCAACUCGCCUGCACGAAGUCGGAAUUGCUAGUAAUCGCAGAU